CAACGGGGCAGUCCGAGCCCAUAAAUUCCCACAGACUACAGGAGUCAAAGAAACUCAGCUAGUCAGGAAAUAAACUGUGUAUUUCAGUGCAACAGAACUGCAAAUGGCUGCCAUCAGACCUGGAAUGCGUUUCAUUUCGUGGGAUGGGACUUCAACUAUUGAAGAUGUAAGGCCCUCCAAAGAUACUGCCAGACCUGCUGAGUUUCUCCAGCAAUUU